rnacentral:miRNA from 1 species
CCUGCCUGUGGAAAGGAGCUAUCCACUGCAGGUCUCCUCUCCACUGAGAGCUGGACACUCAUUAGGACAACCUGUCUGCAGAAAGG